rnacentral:rRNA from 1 species
GGUUAAGCGACUAAGCGUACACGGUGGAUGCCCUGGCAGUCAGAGGCGAUGAAGGACGUGCUAAUCUGCGAUAAGCGUCGGUAAGGUGAUAUGAACCGUUAUAACCGGCGAUUUCCGAAUGGGGAAACCCAGUGUGAUUCGUCACACUAUCAUUAACUGAAUCCAUAGGUUAAUGAGGCGAACCGGGGGAACUGAAACAUCUAAGUACCCCGAGGAAAAGAAAUCAACCGAGAUUCCCCCAGUAGCGGCGAGCGAACGGGGAGCAGCCCAGAGCCUGAAUCAGUGUGUGUGUUAGUGGAAGCGUCUGGAAAGGCGCGCGAUACAGGGUGACAGCCCCGUACACAAAAAUGCACAUGCUGUGAGCUCGAUGAGUAGGGCGGGACACGUGGUAUCCUGUCUGAAUAUGGGGGACCAUCCUCCAAGGCUAAAUACUCCUGACUGACCGAUAGUGAACCAGUACCGUGAGGGAAAGGCGAAAAGAACCCCGGCGAGGGGAGUGAAAAAGAACCUGAAACCGUGUACGUACAAGCAGUGGGAGCACGCUUAGGCGUGUGACUGCGUACCUUUUGUAUAAUGGGUCAGCGACUUAUAUUCUGUAGCAAGGUUAACCGAAUAGGGGAGCCGAAGGGAAACCGAGUCUUAACUGGGCGUUAAGUUGCAGGGUAUAGACCCGAAACCCGGUGAUCUAGCCAUGGGCAGGUUGAAGGUUGGGUAACACUAACUGGAGGACCGAACCGACUAAUGUUGAAAAAUUAGCGGAUGACUUGUGGCUGGGGGUGAAAGGCCAAUCAAACCGGGAGAUAGCUGGUUCUCCCCGAAAGCUAUUUAGGUAGCGCCUCGUGAAUUCAUCUCCGGGGUAGAGCACUGUUUCGGCAAGGGGGUCAUCCCGACUUACCAACCCGAUGCAAACUGCGAAUACCGGAGAAUGUUAUCACGGGAGACACACGGCGGGUGCUAACGUCCGUCGUGAAGAGGGAAACAACCCAGACCGCCAGCUAAGGUCCCAAAGUCAUGGUUAAGUGGGAAACGAUGUGGGAAGGCCCAGACAGCCAGGAUGUUGGCUUAGAAGCAGCCAUCAUUUAAAGAAAGCGUAAUAGCUCACUGGUCGAGUCGGCCUGCGCGGAAGAUGUAACGGGGCUAAACCAUGCACCGAAGCUGCGGCAGCGACGCUUAUGCGUUGUUGGGUAGGGGAGCGUUCUGUAAGCCUGUGAAGGUGUGCUGUGAGGCAUGCUGGAGGUAUCAGAAGUGCGAAUGCUGACAUAAGUAACGAUAAAGCGGGUGAAAAGCCCGCUCGCCGGAAGACCAAGGGUUCCUGUCCAACGUUAAUCGGGGCAGGGUGAGUCGACCCCUAAGGCGAGGCCGAAAGGCGUAGUCGAUGGGAAACAGGUUAAUAUUCCUGUACUUGGUGUUACUGCGAAGGGGGACGGAGAAGGCUAUGUUGGUAGGGCGACGGUUGUCCCGGUUUAAGCGUGUAGGCUGGUUUUCCAGGCAAAUCCGGAAAAUCAAGGCUGAGGCGUGAUGACGAGGCACUACGGUGCUGAAGCAACAAAUGCCCUGCUUCCAGGAAAAGCCUCUAAGCAUCAGGUAACAUCAAAUCGUACCCCAAACCGACACAGGUGGUCAGGUAGAGAAUACCAAGGCGCUUGAGAGAACUCGGGUGAAGGAACUAGGCAAAAUGGUGCCGUAACUUCGGGAGAAGGCACGCUGAUAUGUAGGUGAAGUCCCUCGCGGAUGGAGCUGAAAUCAGUCGAAGAUACCAGCUGGCUGCAACUGUUUAUUAAAAACACAGCACUGUGCAAACACGAAAGUGGACGUAUACGGUGUGACGCCUGCCCGGUGCCGGAAGGUUAAUUGAUGGGGUCAGCGCAAGCGAAGCUCUUGAUCGAAGCCCCGGUAAACGGCGACCGUAACUAUAACGGUCCUAAGGUAGCGAAAUUCCUUGUCGGGUAAGUUCCGACCUGCACGAAUGGCGUAAUGAUGGCCAGGCUGUCUCCACCCGAGACUCAGUGAAAUUGAACUCGCUGUGAAGAUGCAGUGUACCCGCGGCAAGACGGAAAGACCCCGUGAACCUUUACUAUAGCUUGACACUGAACAUUGAGCCUUGAUGUGUAGGAUAGGUGGGAGGCUUAGAAGUGUGGACGCCAGUCUGCAUGGAGCCGACCUUGAAAUACCACCCUUUAAUGUUUGAUGUUCUAACGUUGACCCGUAAUCCGGGUUGCGGACAGUGUCUGGUGGGUAGUUUGACUGGGGCGGUCUCCUCCUAAAGAGUAACGGAGGAGCACGAAGGUUGGCUAAUCCUGGUCGGACAUCAGGAGGUUAGUGCAAUGGCAUAAGCCAGCUUGACUGCGAGCGUGACGGCGCGAGCAGGUGCGAAAGCAGGUCAUAGUGAUCCGGUGGUUCUGAAUGGAAGGGCCAUCGCUCAACGGAUAAAAGGUACUCCGGGGAUAACAGGCUGAUACCGCCCAAGAGUUCAUAUCGACGGCGGUGUUUGGCACCUCGAUGUCGGCUCAUCACAUCCUGGGGCUGAAGUAGGUCCCAAGGGUAUGGCUGUUCGCCAUUUAAAGUGGUACGCGAGCUGGGUUUAGAACGUCGUGAGACAGUUCGGUCCCUAUCUGCCGUGGGCGCUGGAGAACUGAGGGGGCUGCUCCUAGUACGAGAGGACCGGAGUGGACGCAUCACUGGUGUUCGGGUUGUCAUGCCAAUGGCACUGCCCGGUAGCUAAAUGCGGAAGAGAUAAGUGCUGAAAGCAUCUAAGCACGAAACUUGCCCCGAGAUGAGUUCUCCCUGACUCCUUGAGAGUCCUGAAGGAACGUUGAAGACGACGACGUUGAUAGGCCGGGUGUGUAAGCGCAGCGAUGCGUUGAGCUAACCGGUACUAAUGAACCGUGAGGCUUAACCUU